rnacentral:rRNA from 1 species
AGACGGAGGGCGCAAACGUUGUUCGGAAUCACUGGGCAUAAAGAGCACGUAGGCGGCUUGCUAAGUCGGAUGUGAAAGCCCUCGGCUCAACCGGGGAACUGCAUCCGAUACUGGCAGGCUCGAGGACGGUAGGGGUAAGUGGAACUCCAGGUGGAACGGUGAAAUGUGUAGAUAUCUGGAGGAACACCGGUGGCGAAAGCGGCUUACUGGACCGUCUCUGACGCUGAGGUGCGAAAGCUAGGGUAGCGAACGGGAUUAGAUACCCCAGUAGUCC